GACGAACACUGGCGGCGUGCUUAACACAUGCAAGUCGAACGGAAAGGCCCUGCUUUUGUGGGGUGCUCGAGUGGCGAACGGGUGAGUAACACGUGAGUAACCUGCCCUUGACUUUGGGAUAACUUCAGGAAACUGGGGCUAAUACCGGAUAGGAGCUCCUGCUGCAUGGUGGGGGUUGGAAAGUUUCGGCGGUUGGGGAUGGACUCGCGGCUUAUCAGCUUGUUGGUGGGGUAGUGGCUUACCAAGGCUUUGACGGGUAGCCGGCCUGAGAGGGUGACCGGCCACAUUGGGACUGAGAUACGGCCCAGACUCCUACGGGAGGCAGCAGUGGGGAAUAUUGCACAAUGGGCGGAAGCCUGAUGCAGCAACGCCGCGUGCGGGAUGACGGCCUUCGGGUUGUAAACCGCUUUCGCCUGUGACGAAGCGUGAGUGACGGUAAUGGGUAAAGAAGCACCGGCUAACUACGUGC
rnacentral:rRNA from 1 species